rnacentral:lncRNA from 1 species
AUGCCCGCCACCGACCUUGUCACCAUCUCCCGCUUCUCCGGAGAGCUUGACGAUGACCGCCAUGUUCUGGAGGAUGCUCACUACAAGGAAGGCAGGGUGGCCACGACGCGCUGGUGUCCCAAUCUAGUCGUCAUCGAAGCUUCAUGGCCAGCCUCGAGGUCGUUGCAAGAUGCGGAGGGGAAAGUGGCAGCGGCGGUGGCAGGGAGGAGGAUUGAAAGCUCGUGGAGGGGUUGGGGAAGCCAGACUCGAUCCGUGCCGCACGCACGCCACCAAGACCUUGUCGACAUGGGGAUUGGUGGUGGUUAUGGCCACACGAAGGAUGGUGGAACGGCGUGUAACACAUGUUUCAAGGCUCAGGUCGUGAAGGGUAUUGAGAUGGUGACGGUGAACUUGGGUGGAAGUCCCGACCAUAUAGGUGAGUUUCAACCUGUUCCUAAUCAUAGUUAUAGUGAACCGGCGAUCGGGAGAGCAGGUUUCCGGAACUUUUGCCUUCGACGUCCUGCACUGGGAGAAGACGACGAUAAGGUUUUUGGAAGCGCCUCGCACGACUGCUCGCUGGUCUUCCACGACGACUCGUCUUCCUCUAUGCUCGAGAGCUGCACGCGCCAACAAUAACAUCUGACAC